rnacentral:rRNA from 1 species
GACGAACGCUGGCGGCGUGCUUAACACAUGCAAGUCGAACGGAAAGGCCCUGCUUUUGUGGGGUGCUCGAGUGGCGAACGGGUGAGUAACACGUGAGUAACCUGCCCUUGACUUUGGGAUAACUUCAGGAAACUGGGGCUAAUACCGGAUAGGAGCUCCUGCUGCAUGGUGGGGGUUGGAAAGUUUCGGCGGUUGGGGAUGGACUCGCGGCUUAUCAGCUUGUUGGUGGGGUAGUGGCUUACCAAGGCUUUGACGGGUAGCCGGCCUGAGAGGGUGACCGGCCACAUUGGGACUGAGAUACGGCCCAGACUCCUACGGGAGGCAGCAGUGGGGAAUAUUGCACAAUGGGCGGAAGCCUGAUGCAGCAACGCCGCGUGCGGGAUGACGGCCUUCGGGUUGUAAACCGCUUUCGCCUGUGACGAAGCGUGAGUGACGGUAAUGGGUAAAGAAGCACCGGCUAACUACGUGCCAGCAGCCGCGGUGAUACGUAGGGUGCGAGCGUUGUCCGGAUUUAUUGGGCGUAAAGGGCUCGUAGGUGGUUGAUCGCGUCGGAAGUGUAAUCUUGGGGCUUAACCCUGAGCGUGCUUUCGAUACGGGUUGACUUGAGGAAGGUAGGGGAGAAUGGAAUUCCUGGUGGAGCGGUGGAAUGCGCAGAUAUCAGGAGGAACACCAGUGGCGAAGGCGGUUCUCUGGGCCUUUCCUGACGCUGAGGAGCGAAAGCGUGGGGAGCGAACAGGCUUAGAUACCCUGGUAGUCCACGCUGUAAACGGUGGGUACUAGGUGUGGGGUCCAUUCCACGGGUUCCGUGCCGUAGCUAACGCUUUAAGUACCCCGCCCGGGGAGUACGGCCGCAAGGCUUAAACUCAAAGGAAUUGACGGGGCCCCGCACAAGCGGCGGAGCAUGCGGAUUAAUUCGAUGCAACGCGUAGAACCUUACCUGGGUUUGACAUGGAUCGGGAGCGCUCAGAGAUGGGUGUGCCUCUUUUGGGGUCGGUUCACAGGUGGUGCAUGGCUGUCGUCAGCUCGUGUCGUGAGAUGUUGGGUUAAGUCCCGCAACGAGCGCAACCCUUGUUCACUGUUGCCAGCACGUUAUGGUGGGGACUCAGUGGAGACCGCCGGGGUCAACUCGGAGGAAGGUGGGGAUGACGUCAAGUCAUCAUGCCCCUUAUGUCCAGGGCUUCACGCAUGCUACAAUGGCUGGUACAGAGAGUGGCGAGCCUGUGAGGGUGAGCGAAUCUCGGAAAGCCGGUCUCAGUUCGGAUUGGGGUCUGCAACUCGACCUCAUGAAGUCGGAGUCGCUAGUAAUCGCAGAUCAGCAACGCUGCGGUGAAUACGUUCCCGGG